GAAAUGCGAUAAGUAGUGUGAAUUGCAGAAUUCAGUGAAUCAUCGAAUCUUUGAACGCACAUUGCGCCUCCUGGUAUUCCGGGAGGCAUGCCUGUUCGAGCGUCAUUAAAAUCACUCAAGCUUAGGUUUGCCUAUUGCUUGGUCUUGAAGAUGGAAGCUAAGUAAUUGGAAUCCUCUUCGAAGUGUUGACCUCGGAUCAGGUAGGAAUACCCGCUGAACUUAA
rnacentral:misc_RNA from 1 species